rnacentral:rRNA from 1 species
UUUAAGGUCUAAUCUGCCCUAUGAGGAAUUAAAUGGCUGCGGUACUUUGACCGUGCAAAGGUAGCAUAAUAAUUAGUUUUUUAAUUGAAAGCUGGAAUGAAAGAUUGAACGAGAAAAUUUCUGUCUCAAUUUAAUUUUAUUAGAAUUUUAUAUUUAAGUAAGAAAGCUUAAAUUUUUUUAAAAGACGAGAAGACCCUAUAGAGUUUUAUAGUAUAUUUUGUAUUAAUUUUUUUUAGUAUAUUAAUUUUAAUAUGAUUUAUUUUAUUUUGUUGGGGCGAUAGGAAAAUUUAAUAAACUUUUUUUAUUUUAUUUCAUUUGUCUAUGUUUAAUUGAUCCAUUAUUUAUGAUUAUAAGAUUAAAUUACCUUAGGGAUAACAGCGUAAUUUUUUUUAGAGUUCUUAUCGAAUGAAAAGAUUGCGACCUCGAUGUUGGAUUAAAAUAUAUGUUUGGUGUAGGGGCUAGAUAAUUGGGUCUGUUCGACCUUUAGAAUUUUACA